rnacentral:rRNA from 1 species
CGGAGGGUGCAAGCGUUAUCCGGAUUCACUGGGUUUAAAGGGUGCGUAGGUGGGCAAGUAAGUCAGUGGUGAAAUCUCCGGGCUUAACCCGGAAACUGCCAUUGAUACUAUUUGUCUUGAAUACUGUGGAGGUCAGCGGAAUAUGUCAUGUAGCGGUGAAAUGCUUAGAUAUGACAUAGAACACCAAUUGCGAAGGCAGCUGGCUACACAAAUAUUGACACUGAGGCACGAAAGCGUGGGGAUCAAACAGGAUUAGAUACCCUGGUAGUCCACGCCCUAAACUAUGGAUACUCGACAUUUGCGAUAAACUGCAAGUGUCUGAGCGAAAGCAUUAGGUAUCCCACCUGGGAAGUACGAUCGCAAGAUUG